GGACCCGUCGCCUAGUAUGGAUUAGGGCGCCAGCCUUCGGAGCUGGAUGUCGUGGGUUCAAAUCCCACCGGGUCCG
rnacentral:tRNA from 1 species